UACGUAGGGUGCAAGCGUUAAUCGGAAUUACUGGGCGUAAAGCGUGCGCAGGCGGCUAUGCAAGACAGAUGUGAAAUCCCCGGGCUCAACCUGGGAACUGCAUUUGUGACUGCAUGGCUAGAGUACGGUAGAGGGGGAUGGAAUUCCGCGUGUAGCAGUGAAAUGCGUAGAUAUGCGGAGGAACACCGAUGGCGAAGGCAAUCUCCUGGACCUGUACUGACGCUCAUGCACGAAAGCGUGGGGAGCAAACAGG
rnacentral:rRNA from 1 species